rnacentral:rRNA from 1 species
GACGAACGCUGGCGGCGUGCUUAACACAUGCAAGUCGAACGGAAAGGCCUCUUUCGGGGGUUACUCGAGUGGCGAACGGGUGAUUAACACGUGAGUAACCUGCCCUUGACUUUGGGUUAACUUCAGGAAACUGGGGCUAAUACCGGAUAGGAGCUCCUGCUGCAUGGUGGGGGUUGGAAGGUUUCGGCGGUUGGGGAUGGACUCGCGGCUUAUCAGCUUGUUGGUGGGGUAGUGGCUUACCAAGGCUUUGACGGGUAGCCGGCCUGAGAGGGUGACCGGCCACAUUGGGACUGAGAUACGGCCCAGACUCCUACGGGAGGCAGCAGUGGGGAAUAUUGCACAAUGGGUGGAAGCCUGAUGCAGCAACGCCGUGUGCGGGAUGACGGCCUUCGGGUUGUAAACCGCUUUCGCUCAUGACGAAGCUUUGUGUGACGGUAGUGGGUAAAGAAGCACCGGCUAACUACGUG